CCACCCUGGAUGAAAAGAAAAUCCAACUAAAUUUUAGCGAACUGCUAGGGCGCACUCUACUUUCCGUUCUCUGUCUUGAAUUUUCUGUGUGUGUGUUUCCUUGAGAAUCAAAAUACUACUAAUUAAUGCGUAGUUCUAUUCAGAAAAGAAGUUUUUUGGCUCAAAGAAGUGCAAAUCUUUCUGGUUCUUCAGGUUAUCUCUCCCAGUGUUCAAAUUUGCAGAUAUAGGCUGACUAGAGUGUAAGUUCGUAAUGGCUUCUCUAUGUUUCAGAGGACUUCGUACUCAUUCAUCUCUCCUUUGUCCAUCUUCUCUCUUCUCCACAAGCAAUGGUGUAUUCUUUUGCACAGUGCAAACCACAAAAACUGAAAAAACCAACACAAGAACUGAUAACGCUAAAAGAACACAGAUUAAAGCAUCUACGAGUACUAGUAGUAAGCUGGUCAAAGAAAACGAGCAAAGGUUAAAUGAUUAUGAAGCCGUUAUAGGUAUAGAGACACAUGUCCAACUUUCAACUCUAACUAAAGCCUUUUGUAGCUGCCCUUACAACUACGGGUCUCAGCCAAACACUACUGUUUGUCCAAUUUGUAUGGGUCUACCUGGUGCAUUGCCGAUAUUCAAUUCGAAGGUUAUUGAGUGUGCAGUAAAACUAGGACUUGCGCUUAACUGCAAACUGGCAAUGACUUCAAAGUUCGAUAGGAAACAAUAUUUUUAUCCUGAUCUUCCUAAAGGUUAUCAGAUUUCACAAUUUGAUGUUCCGAUUGCAAGUGGUGGUUACGUCGAUUUGGAUCUUCCUCUUGAGUUUGGUGGUGGGCAUAGAAAGUUUGGAAUAACCAGGGUUCACAUGGAAGAAGAUGCUGGGAAGUUGAUGCACUCUGAAACUGGGAUGUACUCGCAGGUGGACUUGAAUAGAGCAGGGGUACCGUUGCUUGAGAUUGUUUCAGAGCCUGAUAUGAGAACUGGGAUCGAGGCUGCUGAGUAUGCGGCUGAGAUACAAAGGUUGGUUCGCUAUUUGGGAGUGGGUAAUGGCAAUAUGCAGGAAGGUUCGCUGCGGUGUGAUGUGAAUGUAUCGGUCCGGCCUAUAGGGCAGGCAGAGUUUGGAACAAAGGUCGAAAUAAAGAACAUGAACUCAUUUUCAGCCAUGCACAGGGCAAUCGAUUUCGAGAUUUCCAGGCAGGUUCUUCUCCACAAUCAAGGCCUGGCUGAUCAAAUUGUGCAGGAAACUCGACUUUGGGAAGAGGGUGCUCAGAAAACGGCAACAAUGAGGAAAAAAGAGGGACUUGCAGACUAUCGAUAUUUCCCUGAACCAGACCUUCCAGAAGUGGUUCUCACGGAGGACUAUGUCGAAAGUAUUCGUGCAUCUUUGCCUGAACUUCCAGAAAUGAAGCGCCGGAGAUUUGAGAAUAUGGGCCUCAGCAUGCAGGAUGUUUUGUUCCUUGCUAACGACACGAAUGUCUGCAAGUUUUUCGAGUCUGCUGUUGACAAAGGUGCUGAUGUGAAAAUGGCGGCCAAUUGGAUUAUGGGUGAUAUUGCUGCUUAUUUGAAGAAUGAAAAACUCUCUAUAACAGAGAUUAAACUUACACCACAGGAGCUGGCUGAACUAAUAUCCUUCAUCAAAGGUGGAAUUAUCAGCGGAAAAAUUGGGAAAGAUAUAUUAUUUGAGAUUAUAGCAAAAGGUGGAACUGUCAAAGCUGUCAUUGAAGAAAAGGAUUUGGUUCAGAUAACAGAUCCUAGUGAGAUUGAAAAAAUGAUUGUGAAGGUGACUGAAGAAAACCCACAGCAGGUGGAGAAAUAUCGUAGUGGCAAAACCAAGUUGCAAGGCUUUUUUGCUGGGCAGGUAAUGAAGGCAUCAAAAGGUAAGGCCAAUCCAGUGCUGUUGAACAAAAUCCUAUUAGAGAAAUUACACGCAAAAAGCUGAUGAGCUGGCAGGGAUAACUGUCUUUGAUUUACUUUGUCUUAACGAGGAAGUUACAGAAUCAAAAAGGAAGCCGGGAAGUUAAAGAGCAAAGGACCCAGAUUCAGUUUCUUAACUGACAGACCCGAUGACUAAAUGUUAAUAGCAGAAUGUAGGCUGAGCAUGCAUUCUACAAAGGCAACAAAAGGACUGGAUUUGAGAACAGCAAAUGCACCUGUGUUGGAGUUCAAAGGAAAGGCCAAAAUGGUGGCCAUCUUCUAAACACCAAGACCCACAAGAACUUUUGCCUUCUUACAGAAACAGCUUUUUCCUGCUUUUUUUCUUCGGGCUUUUUUAUAAAGUACCCCUAGUUUUCACAUUACACUGAAAAAGUGCCCCGUUUUUUAGAAAUUUGUUAAAGUACCCCUUUUAUUCAAAAGGCAAAUUCCAUCCAGUUAAGUGCUAGGUGGCAGUUAUCUUUCUAAUUAAAA